AAAGUGGCGGACGGGUGAGUAACGCGUGGGUAACCUGCCUUGUACUGGGGGACAACACUGAGAAAUUGGUACUAAUACCCCAUAAUAUCAUAGAAGGCAUCUUUUAUGGUUGAAAAUUCCGAUGGUUAGAGAUGGGCAUGCGUUGUAUUAGCUAGUUGGUGGGGUAACGGCUCACCAAGGCGACGAUCGGUAGCCGGACUGGGAGGUUGAACGGCCACAUUGGGACUGAGACACGGCCCAG
rnacentral:rRNA from 1 species